UUAGCCCUAAACUUAGAUAGUUACCUAAACAAACCUAUCCGCCAGAGAACUACUAGCAACAGCUUAAAACUCAAAGGACUUGGCGGUGCUUUAUAUCCCUCUAGAGGAGCCUGUUCUAUAAUCGAUAAACCCCGAUACACCUCACCACCCCUCGCCAAUUCAGUCUAUAUACCGCCAUCUUCAGCAAACCCUAAAAAAGGAAGAAAAGUAAGCACAAGUAUUUCUACAUAAAAAAGUUAGGUCAAGGUGUAACCCAUGAGGUGGGAAGCAAUGGGCUACAUUUUCUACAUCAGAACACCUACGAAGGUUCUUAUGAAACUAAGAACUAAAGGAGGAUUUAGUAGUAAAUUGAGAAUAGAGUGCUCAAUUGAAUAGGGCCAUGAAGCACGC
rnacentral:rRNA from 1 species